rnacentral:rRNA from 1 species
AUUGAACGCUGGCGGCAUGCCUUACACAUGCAAGUCGAACGGCAGCGCGGGCUUCGGCCUGGCGGCGAGUGGCGAACGGGUGAGUAAUACAUCGGAACGUGCCCUGUCGUGGGGGAUAACUAGUCGAAAGAUUAGCUAAUACCGCAUACGACCUGAGGGUGAAAGCGGGGGACCGUAAGGCCUCGCGCGAUAGGAGCGGCCGAUGUCUGAUUAGCUAGUUGGUGGGGUAAGAGCCUACCAAGGCGACGAUCAGUAGCUGGUCUGAGAGGACGAUCAGCCACACUGGGACUGAGACACGGCCCAGACUCCUACGGGAGGCAGCAGUGGGGAAUUUUGGACAAUGGGGGCAACCCUGAUCCAGCAAUGCCGCGUGUGUGAAGAAGGCCUUCGGGUUGUAAAGCACUUUUGUCCGGAAAGAAAUCCCCUGCCCUAAUACGGCGGGGGGAUGACGGUACCGGAAGAAUAAGCACCGGCUAACUACGUGCCAGCCGCCGCUGUAA